UAGCUCCCUCUUGUGGAUAAUGGAAGGAUUAGCUCAGAAUAACCUGAUCAAACAGACUCGUCCUCUGUUCCUUCCCUCUCUCUCUCACUCUCUCUCUCGCGCUCACUCAGUCCAACUGCUCUCUAUCCGUCUUACUGCGACAGCAUUUCUAGGCUUAUGUUUCUCAGUGACUUAACAGAGUUCUGCUUAUUUUAGAUCACCCUUAUAUAUACACAUUGCUGAAGCAGCCUCGUGAAGGCUCUUAGAACUGAUUUAUAUUCGGUACUGCAUGUCUAGAGAUGACUGCAGUCAGUCUACCUUCCCUUCACUGGUGACCAGCAAGUCAAAAUCAAAACGCGGUCCUGACCUCCCCCUCUUCACCAAGCUGACCAAGCAGAUGAAGCAGUGCUUAAAGGAGCCUCAAACCAAAGGAGCUACAGCCAACACACACACACACACACACACAAACACACAGGCAUGCAGUGAUAUUCAGGUUCUCUCACUCUUGUGGUCAUAGGAGAGACAACUAUCCCCAAAGCUAUCCCUACUUUCCUAGUGCCUUUGCUAGUGACCCCUCCUGCUCGUCUUGAGGAUCAUUUGAUUCUGAGGCUGGCGUUGUCCAGGUCUCACGGGAGCCUUACAUGGGAAGACUGGGAGCCAGAUCAGGAUCGGGUUGUCAUAUUCAGUAUCUGUGGAUCAGAGGCACUGCUUAUAUCUGCCCAGGACCUUAACACUAAAGGGCAAUGCUGGCAUUUGGGCUGAUUGUCAUGUUGAACUGCAAUAUUUGCUAUGCUGUAACUAUUAAAACUUCAUUUCAUUU